UACAGAGGGUGCAAGCGUUAAUCGGAAUUACUGGGCGUAAAGCGCGCGUAGGCGGCCGAGCAUGUCGGGUGUGAAAUCCCCGGGCUUAACUUGGGAAUUGCAUCCGAAACUGCGGGGCUGGAGUGUGGCAGAGGGAGGUGGAAUUUCCCGUGUAGCGGUGAAAUGCGUAGAGAUGUGGAGGAACACCAAUGGCGAAGGCAGCCUCCUGGGCCAACACUGACGCUCAUGCAAGAAAGCGUGGGUAGCAAACAGG
rnacentral:rRNA from 1 species